UUUACAAAUUGUUAACAAGGCAAUAGUAGUUCACAAUAUUUAGUUAAUAAUAGAUAAGAAAAAUAGGUGUAAGAAGAUUUCCUUUAUUGACAUCUUGUGAUUUUUUUUUGUUUAUUUAUUAGACUAAAAAAGCUAUCUAAGCAUCAUCAGCUGAAACGCGGAACACUGAUUGCCGCCAUAGACAAUGUUAAUGAUUUCACUAGAUGCGCCACAGCGGGUUUCAGAAGCCUUCCAGAAGUGACUGUCCGCGGAGAAUACACGGGAAAGUGCGAUGUUGUGGUGAGUUGCUGAAGGUCCCGGCCCUCUUUCACAAUGACCUGCUGUUCCAGGGGGUUCCGUACUAAGGUCUGCAAACAUAGAAUUUCCCUCGUUGCAUAACAAUUUCCUCUGGGGAAAUGAAAGUUUACAGCCCUGAAAUGCAUCAAGUUCAACUGCGUGUUCCCCCUCCCCCUGAGGACCUCCCCUUUCUCCCGCUGCGCCAAGACCACCUUUCCACAUCGCACGAGACUUUCAAGCCUCUCUCUCUGUUUAUUUUCACUUGACUUACUUUGUCAUCCUCUCCUUUCUGGUUGUCUCACUCCAUCCUCCCCUGCAGUGCUCUUCACAGCCAGUGACUUUGACCUUGUCUACACAUCCUGUUUACAAUAUGGGACACAUGUUUUUUGUGUUCAUGCCCCCACACAAUGCAAAUAUAACACUGCUGUUCUAAAACAUUGCCAUGAA